AAAACAAUGCCAGUUAAUAAGCGUUUGUACUUUAUUUUUAUUACAAUACUAUUUAUUUCGAGAACUAAAUGUUCUAAAUAUCACUACGAAAGGGCUGAAGCGGAACUGAUACGACCCAACAAAGGGAAGAUAAGUAAUUGGUUUUGUGAACAACUAUGUUAUAAUUAUGGUUGGAAUGAGGGACAAUGCCUAGAUCCCAAGUGGUGUUUAUGCUAUGACUAAGGCAGAAUAGUAUAUACAACUUUUUGCCAUUAAAAGACUUUAAGCUUUGCAAUUGAAUUUAAUGUUAAGGGAAUACACUCUUAGGUUAAGGGAAUACAUUCUUAAAUUGCUUUAGUAUUAUUAUCAGAGGACCUCCUUGAUUUAGUGGUCAAUUAACAUAUGUUAUUACUUGUAUCUAAUUAUCUGUGAAGUAAAAAUUACUUCAGAUUCAAAGGCACAUAGUUGAUCUGAUCAGAAUACAUUGAAACAACACUAUAUAUAUACUUCUCUUUGCCUCAUAGCAGGAACUUUGGCCAGUAUAAGCAUGCCAACAAAUAUAUUCAAUACUUCUUACCUAUUACACUGAAUAAAUACAAUAUUCCAUAUCUCAGUAAGGCUUCCAUCAGGAUGUAUGUAAUGAAUCUCUGUACAUGGUCCACAUGGACCACUCACACCCAUCUCCCAGAAAUUGUCCUUUGCACCACAGUCUUUGAUAUGACCUUCCUUGACCCUGAAUUUUAAAAACAAUAAAGGACUAGUGACAAGUUA